GAUGAACGCUGGCGGCGUGCCUAAUACAUGCAAGUCGAGCGAACAGACGAGGAGCUUGCUCCUCUGACGUUAGCGGCUGACGGGUGAGUAACACGUGGAUAACCUACCUAUAAUACUGGGAUAACUUCGGGAAACCGGAGCUAAUACCGGAUAAUAUAUUGAACCGCAUGGUUCAAUAGUGAAAGACGGUUUUGCUGUCACUUAUAGAUGGAUCCGCGCCGCAUUAGCUAGUUGGUAAGGUAACGGCUUACCAAGGCAACGAUGCGUAGCCGACCUGAGAGGGUGAUCGGCCACACUGGAACUGAGACACGGUCCAGACUCCUACGGGAGGCAGCAGUAGGGAAUCUUCCGCAAUGGGCGAAAGCCUGACGGAGCAACGCCGCGUGAGUGAUGAAGGUCUUCGGAUCGUAAAACUCUGUUGUUAGGGAAGAACAAAUGUGUAAGUAACUAUGCACGUCUUGACGGUACCUAAUCAGAAAGCCACGGCUAACUACGUG
rnacentral:rRNA from 1 species